rnacentral:rRNA from 1 species
UACGAAGGGGGCUAGCGUUGUUCGGAAUCACUGGGCGUAAAGCGCACGUAGGCGGAUCUUUAAGUCAGGGGUGAAAUCCUGGAGCUCAACUCCAGAACUGCCUUUGAUACUGGGAAGCUUGAGUCCGGAAGAGGUGAGUGGAACUCCGAGUGUAGAGGUGAAAUUCGUAGAUAUUCGGAAGAACACCAGUGGCGAAGGCGGCUCACUGGUCCGGUACUGACGCUGAUGUGCGAAAGCGUGGGGAGCAAACAGG